rnacentral:rRNA from 1 species
GAUGAACGCUGGCGGCGUGCCUAAUACAUGCAAGUCGAGCGAACAGAUCAGGAGCUUGCUCCUUUGACGUUAGCGGCGGACGGGUGAGUAACACGUGGGUAACCUACCUAUAAGACUGGGAUAACUUCGGGAAACCGGAGCUAAUACCGGAUAAUAUUUCGAACCGCAUGGUUCGAUAGUGAAAGAUGGUUUUGCUAUCACUUAUAGAUGGACACGCACCGUAUUAGCUAGUUGGUAAGGUAACGGCUUACCAAGGCUACGAUGCGUAGGCGACCUGAGAGCGAGGUCGCACAGCCGGGAACAGAGAAAGGGCAGAGACUCCUAGGGGAGGAAGCAGUAGGGAAUCCUACGCAAUGGGGGAAAGCGUGACGGAGCAAAGCCGCGGGAGUGAUGAAGGACUUCGGAUCGGAAAACGAUGUUAGUAGGGAAGAACAUAAGCGUAAGUAACUGUGCAGGUCUUGACGGUACCAAAUCAGAAAGCCACGGCUAACUACGUG